rnacentral:tRNA from 1 species
GCCUGGCAGGCUCAGUCGGUAGAGCAUGAGACUCUUGAUCUCAGGGUCGUGAGUUUGAGCCCCACAUUGGGUG